UACAGAGGUCUCAAGCGUUGUUCGGAUUCAUUGGGGCGUAAAGGGUGUGUAGGUGGCGCGCUAAGUCGGGUGUGAAAAUUUCGGAGCUUAACUCCGAAACUGCAUUCGAUACUGGCGUGCUUGAGGACUGGGAGAGGAGACUGGAAUUUACGGUGUAGCGGUGAAAUGCGUAGAUAUCGUAAGGAAGACCAGUGGCGAAGGCGGGGUCUCUGGACAGUUCCUGAC
rnacentral:rRNA from 1 species